CUGGCACAGAAUUAGAGUAUACAGAAUGGAUGCUUGCCUAGGUUUAUCUGCUUGGAGAGCUACUGGGAAUGGAAGCUCAGCCCCUUUCCUCCCAAAGACAGAAGGGAAGAAUAGAAGAUGCUAGGACAGUAUGAUGUCAGGGAGAGGAAGGAAAUCCCCACCAUCCCAGGGACAAGGACAGGAGGACAAGGACAGGAUGAAAUUAGAGACAGCUGCUUGAAGAUGAAGGGAGACUUUUGGAGGCAGUCACUUUUUCCUGGUCUUAUCCCUGUCUGGAACUUUCUGCGCUGGAGAGACUUGCUGGGUGUAUAGUCUUCCUGUGAUUAUAUAAUUGGAGUAGGAUGGAUGGAAAGAGUCAUUGAAGUUGUGGCAAGAAAGAAGUCAGGAUGCCUGGUGCUAGCCCCGAAUAUAGUGGAUGGCCUUGAAGACUUUGAUAUCUAACCAAGAUCUAAGAGCCCCAAAGCACCUGCCAUUGGAACCUGCCAUUGUGUCUUCCCAUGUUUAGGGUAGACAUCCCCCUAAUUCACUGAUGCCCACAGGCUUGAGACCUAUAUCCUCAACCUGGUUUGGCCUCUUUGCAGAGACAGUUUGAGGGUAACCAAUACAGAUAGUAGGAGCAUGAACUAUGAAUUUCCUCUGUGUCUUCUGAUCCCAAAUCCAGUCCUCUUUCUCCUUCGUUAGUAUUGUACCUCUUCUAACUCAUCCCCAAUAUCUAACCCUUUGGCAAGUCUUAUCAAUUUCUACUUUUUUAUUGUCUCCUUUUUAUUCAGAAAGCCGCCAUCCUAGUUUGGGUUCUUACCACUUCUCUCCUGACUUAAAACUAUUGUUGAGCCUUCUAAUUUGCCUCUCAACAACAUUUCAUCUCUCUCUUUUCCAUUCUACCCCCCCCCCACACACACACAC
rnacentral:lncRNA from 1 species